AUUUCUUUUAAGGGUCCGUUUCCCUCUCCUUUCUACCACUGCUCUAAUAUUUCCUGCCUCUUUCUCCGCCGUCGCUUGCGACAACCCCCUCUUCACGUCGCCAGAAUAAUUUUUCUUCUUCUUCCUCUUUGUCUUCGUCUUCUUCUUCUUUUUCGCAGACUAUUUGAAUCUCUUAUAUACCCGUUGGAUACAUAGGGACAGCUUUGGCUUGUGAGCUUUAAAGGAUCAUUCACUGCUAACUCACUUCUUGAUUUAUACCUUCUUGUUUCUCAAAAUUCGCAUCAAGCUCUAUGUAAGAGGAAUGAUAUAAUUGUUGUGGGUUUGAUUUGAGAGCAGUUGCAGUGGCACGCCUAAGCAGUAGAGAAAUGCAAAGACUUUCUUCAAAAACAAUCUCUCUUCUUAACAAACAUUGCUGCCGUUUUAAUCUCAUUCAUGUACAACUCUACCAAAAAGGUCAAGAACCCAUUGACAGAAACCCUCUGUCUAACAAUCUAAGAAAUGGGUUUGGUGUUGUUUGUCUCAAAACUCAAGAAAAUAAUACUUCAGACAGAGACAACAGCAGCAGCAAGGUUGAUGAGUUUGCUAAAGAUGUUGAAAAAGUAUAUAGAAUCCUCAGAAACUUCCAUUCUAGAGUUCCAAAGUUAGAGCUUGCCUUGCAAGAAUCUGGUGUUACAAUGCGAGCAGGAUUAACUGAACGUGUAUUAAAUCGUUGCGGUGAUGCUGGGAAUUUGGGGUAUAGGUUCUUUGUGUGGGCAUCAAAGCAGCCUGGUUAUAGGCAUAGUUAUGAGAAUUAUAAGGCCAUGGUUAAGAUUUUUAGUAAAAUGAGACAAUUUGGUGCUGUUUGGGCUUUAUUAGAGGAAAUGAGGAAAGAUAACAGUGUGUUGAUAACAAGUGAAUUGUUUAUUGUUUUGAUUAGGAGGUUUGCUUCCGCUAGAUUAGUUGAGAAGGCAAUUGAAGUAUUAGAUGAGAUGCCAAAGUAUGGAUGUGAACCUGAUGAGUAUGUGUUUGGUUGUUUAUUGGAUGCAUUGUGUAAGAAUGGCAGUGUUAAACAAGCUGCUUCUCUUUUUGAGGAUAUGAGAGUGAGGUUUAGUCCGAGCUUGAAGCAUUUUACUUCUUUGUUGUAUGGUUGGUGUAGAGAAGGGAAACUAAUUGAGGCUAAACAUGUGUUGGUACAAAUGCGAGAAGCAGGAUUUGAGCCGGAUAUUGUUGUGUUUAACAAUCUGUUAAGUGCCUAUUCGAUGGCUGGAAAAAUGACUGAUGCUUUUGAUUUGUUGAAGGAGAUGGUGAGGAAGGGGUGUGAGCCUAAUGCGAACUCGUAUACUAUUAUGAUCCAGGCAUUUUGUUCACAGGAGAAAAUGGAUGAAGCAAUGAGGGUUUUUGUUGAGAUGGAAAGGACUGGUUGUGAGGCAGAUGUUGUGACAUAUACUGCAUUGAUAAGUGGCUUUUGUAAGUGGGGUAAGAUUAAUAGAGGAUAUCAGAUUUUAGAUGCUAUGAAACAGAAAGGGCAUAUGCCUAAUCAAUUGACUUACUUGCGCAUAUUGCUGGCCCAUGAAAAGAAGGAGGAGUUAGAAGAGUGUUUAGAAUUGAUAGAGAGUAUGCGGAUGGUUGGUUGUGUUCCUGAUCUUAGUAUUUACAAUGUAGUAAUUAGGCUGGCUUGCAAGCUGGGGGAGGUGAAACAGGGUGUUCAAAUUUGGAAUGAAAUGGAAGCAAGCGACUUUAGUCCAGAGCUUGAUACUUUUGUUAUUAUGAUUCAUGGGUUUCUUGGGCAGGGAUGUUUAGUUGAGGCUUGCGAGUAUUUCAAGGAAAUGAUUGGGAGAGGCCUUUUAACUACUCCUCAAUAUGGUAUCCUGAAGGAGUUAUUAAAUGCUCUGCUGAGAGGCGAGAAGCUUGGAAUGGCUAAAGAUGUUUGGAGUUGCAUUGUGACAAAAGGAUGUGAGCUCAAUGCAGACGCCUGGACAAUUUGGAUUCAUUCACUGUUCUCAAAUGGGCAUGUGAAAGAGGCUUGUUCUUACUGUUUGGACAUGAUGGAAGCAGAUAUAAUGCCAAAGCCAGAAACUUUCGCAAAGCUAAUGCGUGGUUUAAGAAAAUUGUUCAACAGAGAGUUUGCAGCAGAGAUCACAGAGAAGGUGAGAAAGAUGGCUGCAGAUAGACAGACCACUUUCAAAAUGUAUAAACGAAGAGGGGAGAGGGAUUUGAAAGAAAAGGCUAAGGCAAGAAAGGAUGGGAGAAAGAGGAGGGCUCGUAGACGCCAGUGGGGUGGGGUCCGUAAUAGAGCCAGCAUUUAGUUUCAGUAAUGGGUUGUAGAUGAGCUAGACUCUUCGGGUGAGAUUGGAUUCUAGCCACUGUUUGCGCUUGAGCUUUUUUUUUUUUGGCUCAUUGAAGAUGGACAUGCUUCAUUUAUCAAACAGCAACAUAGUUAAGCAGCAGGGAGGAGCUCUGGUAUCCUCUUAGAAGAAAUAAGAUGUUGGCGAGCAUCCCAUACAAGACCAGGUCACCGGGGUUUAAGUGUCAAGUGGAUAUUUUAUAUGGCUAAGGUAUUGAGUUUCUGCUUCUGAACUCUGAAUUGUUGCUGUUAUCCCACGCAAAUGAAAUUUGUAAGUUGAAUUCGAUUAAGGUAUUCCUUGGAUACUGUCUCUGAUAAAAAUUCUAAAUUUUUUA